rnacentral:rRNA from 1 species
GAUGAACGCUGGCGGCGUGCCUAAUACAUGCAAGUCGAGCGAACAGACGAGGAGCUUGCUCCUCUGACGUUAGCGGCGGACGGGUGAGUAACACGUGGAUCACCUACCUAUAAGACUGGGAUAACUUCGGGAAACCGGAGCUAAUACCGGAUAAUAUAUUGAACCGCAUGGUUCAAUAGUGAAAGACGGUUUUGCUGUCACUUAUAGAUGGUUCCGCGUCGCAUUAGCUAGUUGGUAAGGUAACGGCUUACCAAGGCAACGAUGCGUAGCCGACCUGAGAGGGUGAUCGGCCACACUGGAACUGAGACACGGUCCAGACUCCUACGGGAGGCAGCAGUAGGGAAUCUUCCGCAAAGGGCGAAAGCCUGACGGAGCAACGCCGCGUGAGUGAUGAAGGUCUUCGGAUCGUAAAACUCUGUUAUUAGGGAAGAACAAAUGUGUAAGUAACUAUGCACGUCUUGACGGUACCUAAUCAGAAAGCCACGGCUAACUACGUG